rnacentral:tmRNA from 1 species
GGGCUAGUACCGGUUUCGACGGGGACGAUGCAGCUUUAGAAGCUAUCCGAAAGACAGUCGCGUUAAACUUCAAACCUAAAUAUAAACGCUAACGAUACAAGUUACGCAUACGCAGCUUAAUUGCUGCGUGGUCAGCCUCAUUGCACUCACACUUUGAGAACCUGGCCUCAUCUAUGUGAGAAACGACUUUAAGAGUUCCUCCUCUUAAUGGGCGUAUCAGAGGAUACCGGUCAUAACAAGACGUGCACAUCUUAGUAAUGAUGGGGAAUCUUAGAAGUGUACUAUGAUAGUAGAAGGAGAGGGAAUUUGUUUUCGGACACGGGUUCGACUCCCGUCUGGUCCACUA